rnacentral:rRNA from 1 species
AUUGAACGCUGGCGGCAGGCCUAACACAUGCAAGUCGAGCGGUUGAGGGGAGCUUGCUCCCUGAUUCAGCGGCGGACGGGUGAGUAAUGCCUAGGAAUCUGCCUAUUAGUGGGGGACAACGUUUCGAAAGGAACGCUAAUACCGCAUACGUCCUACGGGAGAAAGCAGGGGACCUUCGGGCCUUGCGCUAAUAGAUGAGCCUAGGUCGGAUUAGCUUGUUGGUGAGGUAAUGGCUCACCAAGGCGACGAUCCGUAACUGAUCUGAGAAGAUGAUCAGUAACACUGGAACUGAGACACGGUCCAGACUCCUACGGGAGGCAGCAGUGGGGAAUAUUGGACAAUGGGCGAAAGCCUGAUCCAGCCAUGCCGCGUGUGUGAAGAAGGUCUUCGGAUUGUAAAGCACUUUAAGUUGGGAGGAAGGGUUGUAGAUUAAUACUCUGCAAUUUUGACGUUACCGACAGAAUAAGCACCGGCUAACUCUGUGCCAGCAGCCGCCGUAA